GGUGGAUAAGAACACGGUUAAAAGGCAUAUUACGAUUCAGAGACGCUCAGCUUUACUUGGAAAAAAUUGUUGCAACAAAUUCCACUGCCCACUGUUUUUAAAAGGACCAGACGGCACAGGUUGAAUGCACACCUUCCAAUUCACUUCAGAAAGGCAGAUGUCCAUAGAGUAAAUUGACAAGCAGAAUCAUACCGAUUUCCAAUGGAAGCUGAUUGAAAACAAGAAUGUCCACAACAGCUGGCCGGUUCUAUUGAUUGUGGGAUCUUCAUGUUGUUGGUAAGAAAAAGAAAGGGA